rnacentral:rRNA from 1 species
CACGUAGGGACCAAGCGUUGUCCGGAUUUAUUGGGCGUAAAGAGCUCGUAGGCGGUUCAGUCAGUCGGGUGUGAAAACUUCGGGCUUAACUCGAAGCAUGCAUCCGAUACUGCUGUGACUUGAGUCCGGUAAAAAAGUGGGGAAUUCCUGGUGUAGCGGUGAAAUGCGCAGAUAUCAGGAGGAACACCAAUGGCGAAGGCGCCACUCUGGGCCGGUACUAACGCUGAGGAGCGAAAGCGUGGGUAGCAAACAGG